ensembl:lncRNA
CAGGAGUUCAAGGCCGGCCUGAACUAGAUAGAGGACCUUGUCUCAAAAACAAAUUAAAAUCACGGGCUCUGGAAAUGCACUACCUGGGGUUGGAAAUCUGGCCCUAUGAGGCUGAGUAAGGGCAAAUUAAAUUUUUUCCUGAGCCUCAUCCUCCCUAGCUAUAAUAAUGGGCAUAAUACCUACCUCUUAGACUUCAACAUUAGAAUGGUAACAAGCUGGGCCUUCCUGGGAUCACCUCCAAACAACUACUUGCAUUUGAAUCCUUGCCUCAAGUCUGCUUCCAGAGAACACCAUCUGAGAGAUCUGCAGGGGAAGUGUGGUUGCCCAGAGAGGAGGAGGAAAGUGGCUGCUGCCAUUCAGGAGUGGUGGCCGUGUUAACAGAUGAGGGGAGAGAGGAUGCAGUGGGUGACACUAAUGAAAUCUUAGCCUCAGUCUUUGGCUCAGCUGCUGAAUUUGGAAAAAUUCAAACAUUUAUAAAAGAAAACAGAAUGGUAUUGUGGACUCCACAGACUUGUCACCCAGCUUCAACAAUGAUCAGCUCAGCGUCAAUCUUGGGUGUCUACUUUUCCCAACCUCCAUCCCUGUCAAUGGAGACACCAUACCAUUGCCUCUGUAAAUAUACUGGUAUGUAUCACAUCAUUAAAAGAUAAGCACUCCUUUAUAAAAUAUAAUCACAAAAAUAUCAUAAAUAUAUGUGUCCAAACCUGAAGGAAGUGCAAAACCCAGAGUGAACCAUGGACUUUGAGUGAUAAUGAAAUUUCCAUGUGGCUUCAUCAGUUGUGACAAAUGUACCACUCUGAUGGGGGUUGUUGGUGAUGGGGGACAGUGUGUAGGGGGGAAGGAGAUACACAGUCAAUCUAUGUUCAAUUUUGCUAUAAUCCUAAAACUAUUCUAAAAAGUCUUUACAAAUAGGACAUAACCACAAUACUGUUAUUAAACUCAACAAUAGUUCCUUGGUACUAUUUGUUUACUGUUGUCUCUCACCCCGAGAGUGCUUUCUGAAUCAUUUGGGUCUGUAUCUUGGUGCCCAGCCCAGCACCAGAGACCUGCUGGGUCCUCGGGAACUUUGUGCUGCCUGGACAGCCCUUUGGAUGAACAAGUUGCUGACAGCCCAC